rnacentral:rRNA from 1 species
UGGGGAAUUUUGGACAAUGGGCGAAAGCCUGAUCCAGCAAUGCCGCGUGUGUGAAGAAGGCCUUCGGGUUGUAAAGCACUUUUGUCCGGAAAGAAAUCCUUGGCUCUAAUACAGUCGGGGGAUGACGGUACCGGAAGAAUAAGCACCGGCUAACUACGUGCCAGCAGCCGCGGUAAUACGUAGGGUGCAAGCGUUAAUCGGAAUUACUGGGCGUAAAGCGUGCGCAGGCGGUUUGCUAAGACCGAUGUGAAAUCCCCGGGCUCAACCUGGGAACUGCAUUGGUGACUGGGCAGGCUAGAGUAUGGCAGAGGGGGGUAGAAUUCCACGUGUAGCAGUGAAAUGCGUAGAGAUGUGGAGGAAUACCGAUGGCGAAGGCAGCCCCCUGGGCCAAUACUGACGCUCAUGCACGAAAGCGUGGGGAGCAAACAGGAUUAGAUACCCUGGUAGUCCACGCCCUAAACGAUGUCAACUAGUUGUUGGGGAUUCAUUUCCUUAGUAACGUAGCUAACGCGUGAAGUUGACCGCCUGGGGAGUACGGUCGCAAGAUUAAAACUCAAAUGAAUUGACGGGGUCAUAGCU